rnacentral:tRNA from 3 species
AUUUAUAUAAUAUAACUUAGUAUAUUUGACUUCCAAUCAAAUCGUUUAUUCCAUAAUAAUA